rnacentral:rRNA from 1 species
UGGGGAAUCUUGCGCAAUGGCCGAAAGGCUGACGCAGCGACGCCGCGUGGAGGAUGACGCCCUUCGGGGUGUAAACUCCUGUUGCCCGGGACGAAUACCCGUUUCGACGGGGGUGACGGUACCGGGUGAGGAAGCACCGGCUAACUCUGUGCCAGCAGCCGCGGUAAUACAGAGGGUGCGAGCGUUGUCCGGAAUCACUGGGCGUAAAGGGCGCGUAGGCGGCUGGGUAAGCGUGUGGUGAAAGCCCGGGGCUCAACCCCGGGUCGGCCAUGCGAACUGUCCAGCUGGAGCACGGUAGAGGCACAUGGAAUUCCAGGUGUAGCGGUGGAAUGCGUAGAGAUCCGGAAGAACACCGGUGGCGAAGGCGGUGUGCUGGGCCGUGGCUGACGCUGAGGCGCGACAGCGUGGGGAGCAAACA